AGCUUCCUAGGUGUGGAAACUGAAGGACCAAGAGAUUAAACAGUGGUGCAAAAGUGGUAAGAAUUCAGCAUUCUCCUCGACAAGUGGACGAGCAUCUACUGUGCUUUCACAGCGGCUAUCACUAUUGCCAGCAGCAAGACUGUCAGCUCGGCGCCCUCGUCUGGUUGGAUGGGAAACUGCAGUUGCUAAGGGAGCUGGGUUUGUAAGGAGCCGGCCAGGGUUGCAGGGUGGCUUAGCUGUGAUUUGGGAGUAAUGCCUUGUGCCUCUGCUUACUGUCUCCUCUCUUGCACUCCUAUGUUGCAGGAAUCUCUGAGGACAAAUGGGAAUUCUCACUGAUUUCUAGGACUACCCUGGGGCAGGCACCCUGCACAGCAAUACACACUGAACAAUGUCGAGUUUCUGCUGAAUAGACUUCCUACGUUGCUCUGGAAUUCGAAGUUGGCCUAACUGAGGUCUCCAGUUACAGAAAACACUGGCUCUGUAUCCUGGGCUUUGAGAAAACUUAUCAGGCUGUCACACUUACCAUCCCUUCAGUCUGCUUGUCAGGUUCCUUAAGGACGCAUAUCUCAAAUGUAUGGCAUCUACCUCUACCUGGGUCACAACCAAGUGGGUUUCUACUAGAUCGGUGUUCCUUGACAGCCAACAAGGGAGCUGACACUGCCCUCCUAAGUUCUGAUCUUGCUCCUGUUCAACUGGAACUUGAUGGAUCCCAUGUGGUUUCCCCCAUCCUGACGCUGUGGCUCAGACACUCUCCCUAAGCUGGUCCUUCCCUCCAAAUCCUGCCUUAAACACACUCAGAAGGUAGAAAACACUUCAGCAGCAAAGUCCUCUUCCCAAGCCAACAGUUGUGUUCUUCCAAUCACAUGAUCUUACCUUUUCAAUAAAAGGCAAAACAAACCAAUUUCCAACAUAGCAUUACAGCCUUUAAAACCAUUCACUUCUCAUAGUGAUUCACAGAGAACAAGAGAUUAAAGUGCUGGAUUUUAAAUGUCUAAAGUUGCCUUCAGGGCUACAAAAAGCCCUGCCGUGUGUGUUUUUCCUUCAUGGUGUUGAGGGGAAGGAAAGAUAGGGAAGGGCAGUGGGGAGAAACCCUAAAAUUUUCAAUCAGAAACUGGAAAUUGUAAAA
rnacentral:lncRNA from 1 species